rnacentral:lncRNA from 1 species
GAAGUCUCAUCCCGACUUGUGGGGGAAUCAUAGUCUCCAUCAUCCUUUCCUCACUUGGGACAAUGCUCUAAAAAAUGAUGAUCAUCACACUUUUAUUUACUUACAACUCAAUACUUAGAACAAAAUAUGACUCUAUGUGAAUGCCUCCGGCGGUGUACUAGGAUAUGCAAUGAAUCAAGAGUGACAUGUAUGAAGGAAUUAUGAACAGUGGCUUUGCCACAAAUACAAUGUCAACUACAUGAUCAUGCGAAGCAAUAUGACAAUGAUGGAGCAUACAUAGUAAACGAGACGGUGGUAAGUUGCAUGGCAAUAUAUCUCGGAAUGGCUAUGGAAAUGCCAUGUUAGGUAAGUAUGAUGGCUCUUUUGAGGAAGGUAUAUGGUGGGUGUAUGAUACCGGCAAAAGGUGCGUGGUAUUAGAGAGGCUAGCAAUGGUGGAAGGAAGAAAAGUGCGUAUAAUCCAUGGACUCAACAUUAGUCAUAAAGAACUCUUAUAGUUAUUGCAAAAAUCUACAAGUUAUCAAAGAAAAGUAUUACGCGCAUGCUCCUAGGGGGAUAUAUUGGUAGGAAAAGACCAUCGCUCGUCCUCGACCGCCACUCAUAAGGAAGACAAUCAAUAAAUAAAUCAUGCUCCGACUUCAUCACAUAACGGUUCACCAUACGUGCAUGCUACGGGAAUCACAAACUUUAACACAAGUAUUUCUCAAAUUCACAACUACUCAACUAGCAUGACUCUAAUAUCAUCAUCUCCAUAUCUCAAAACAAUUACCAAGCAUCUAACUUCUCAUAGUAUUCAACACACUCAUAAGAAUUUUUUUACUAAUCUUGAAUGCCUAUCACAAUUAAAGCAAAUUACCAUGCUGUUUUGUAGGACUCUCAAAAUAAUCUAAGUGAAGCAUGAGAGAACAAUAGUUUCUAUAAAACAAAUCCACCACCGUGCUCUAAAAGAUAUAAGUGAACCACUAGAGCAAAAACUAUAUAACUCAAAAGAUAUAAGUGAAGCACAUAGAGUAUUCUAACAAUUUCUGAAUCAUGUGUGUCUCUCUCAAAUGGUGUGUACAGCAAGGAUGAUUGUGGAAAACUAAAAAACAAAGACUCAAAUAAUACAUGACGCUCCAAGCAAAACACAUAUCAUGUGGUGAAUAAAAAUAUAGCUCCAAGUAAAGUUACCGAUGGAAGUAGACGAAAGAGGGGAUGCCUUCCGGGGCAUCCCCAAUCUUUGGCUUUUAGGUGUCAAUAGAUUAUCUUGGGGAGCCAUGGGAAUCCCCAAGCUUAGGCUCUUGCCACUCCUUGUUCCAUAACCAAUCAAAUCUUUUACCAAAAACUUGAAAACUUCACAACACAAAACUCAGCAGAAAAUCUCGUGAGCUCCGUUAGCGAAAGAAAAAAAAACACCACUUCAAGGUACUGUAAUGAACUCAUUCUUUAUUUAUAUUGGUGUUAAACCUACUGUAUUCAAACUUCUCUAUGGUUUAUAAACUAUUUUACUAGCCAUAGAUUCAUCAAAAUAAGCAAACAACACACGAAAAACAGAAUCUGUCAAAAACAGAACAGUCUGUAGUAAUCUGUAACUAACGCAAACUUCUGGAACUCAAAAAACUUCAGCCAAAAUAGGACGACCUAGAAAAUUUGUUUAUUGAUUAGAAGCAAUUGGAAUCAAUAUUUUAUCACGUUCUGGUGAGUUUUAACAAUUAUUUUCGUGAACAAAAAGUUUCUGGAAUUUUCAGCAAGAUCAAAUAACUAUCAUCCAAGAAGAUCCUAUAGGUUAAACUUGGCACAAACACUAAUUAAAACAAAAAAAACAUCUAACCAGAGGCUAGAUCAAAUAUUUAUUCCUAAACAGAAGCAAAAAGCAAAAAAAUAAAAAAAUAAAAUUGGGUUGCCUCCCAACAAGCGCUAUCGUUUAACGCCCCUAGCUAGGCAUAAAAGCAAGGAUAGAUGUAGGUAUUGCCAUAAUAAUAGGAUAGAUCAUUAAAACUCAUUUCAUAUUCUCUAAGUUCAGCAGCGAGUUUUCUUUGAGGCAAGCAAAAGUAAUCAAAAGGGCUAAAUUUAAUGGGACAAAAGUCCCCAAGAUCAACUUUAGGAGGUAUAGGUUCCUCCUUCGGCCCUUCGUAUUGCACAACCAAUUCAUCAUUAUAAGCAUUCUUUUGACAGAACUUUGUGAGCCUAUACUUGAGAGAAUAUCCUAGCUCAUUAUUUCGGAUAGCAAUAUCACUAUUAAGUUCAGAAAUUCUAUCGACUAGAACAUUGGUAGGAACCUUUUUUCUAAGGUUCUCAUUAAAAGCAACAUAGUCUAGAGAUUGAAAACGCAUUAUUUCCUCUUGAUCGAAUAAGAUAGCUUCUAUGGGAGUACGGCCAGCGUCUGCCCUAUAAUGCGCAAAGAUUUCUUUGGCCUCUUUUAUUAUAAAUCUGAACUCAUGAGGCAAAAAGAUAGUAGCGGCACGCUUAACAGAAGAAUGCUCAAUAUUAGAAAAUUCUAGGAAAAUCCUUUGUAUGCAAGGGUGCAUGUGCAUGAAUUGCCUUUCAAGUUCAACUACAAGCAUGGCAAUAGCGUCCGCAAGACUACUAGUUCUAUGAAGAAUAGAACUGCCCAUAGAAGGCAAAGCACCGGCACAAGUAAAGAAAUCUUGAAUAACCCCUUUUCCAAUAAUGUUACCACUGCCAAUUCGGAAUUUUUUUGUAUGCAAGAUAGGGGGUUCUUCAGCGAGAGCAUCAGAAUUUUCCAUAUUAUUACUAUUGUCCAUAUCGACAAUAGUUUCCCCAAUUUCAAACAUAACGACAGAAAGUGCAAGGAGCAAAAAGAAAGAGGGAGGCAAACGGAGAAGAGAGGGCGAAUAAAACGGCAAGGGUGAAGUGGGGGAGAGGAAAACGAGAGGAAAAUGACAAAUAAUGUAAUGCGGGAGAUAAGGGUUUGUGAUGGGUACUUGGUAUGUUGACUUUUGCAUAGACUCCCCGGCAACGGCGCCAGAAAUCCUUCUUGCUACCUCUUGAGCACUGCGUUGGUUUUCCCUUGAAGAGGAAAGGGUGAUGCAGUAAAGCAGCGUAAGUAUUUCCCUCCGUUUUUGAGAACCAAGGUAUCAAUCCAGUAGGAGGCCAUGCACGAGUCCCUCGCACCUACACAAACAAAUAAAUCCUCGCAACCAACGCAAUAAAGGGGUUGUCAAUCCCUUCACGGUCACUUACGAGAGUGAGAUCUGAUAGAUAUGAUAAGAUAAUAUUUUUGGUAUUUUUAUGAUAAAGAUGCAAAGUAAAGAAAGUAAAAUAAAAACGGCGCCAGAAAUAGCUUGUUGUUGGGAGAUUAAAUAUGAUGGAAAAUAGACCCCGAGGCCAUAGGUUUCACUAGUGGCUUCUCUCGAGAGCAUAAGUAUUAUGGUGGGUAAACAAAUUACUGUUGAGCAAUUGAUAGAAUUGAGCAUAGUUAUGAGAAUAUCUAGGUAUGAUCAUGGAUAUAGGCAUCACGUCCGAGACAAGUAGACCAACUCCUGCCUGCAUCUACUACUAUUACUCCACACAUCGACCGCUAUCCAGCAUGCAUCUAGAGUAUUAAGUUCAUAAGAACAGGGUAACGCUUUAAGUAAGAUGACAUGAUGUAGAGGGAUAAACUCAUGCAAUAUGAUAUAAACCCCAUCUUGUUAUCCUCGAUGGCAACAAUACAAUACGUGCCUUGCUGCCCCUACUGUCACUGGGAAAGGACACCGCAAGAUUGAACCCAAAGCUAAGCACUUCUCCCAUUGCAAGAAAGAUCAAUCUAAUAGGCCAAACCAAACUGAUAAUUCAAAGAAACUUGCAAAGAUAACCAGUCAUACAUAAAAGAAUUUAGAGAAGAUUCAAAUAUUGUUCAUAGAUAAACUUGAUCAUAAACCCACAAUUCAUCGGUCUCAACAAACACACCGCAAAAGAAGAUUACAUCGAAUAGAUCUCCACAAGAGAGGGGGAGAACAUUGUAUUGAGAUCCAAAAAGAGAGAAGAAGCCAUCUAGCUAAUAACUAUGGACCCGAAGGUCUGAAUUAAACUACUCACACAUCAUUGGAGAGGCUAUGGUGUUGAUGUAGAAGCCCUCCCUGGUCGAUGCCCCCUCCGGCGGAGCUCCGGAAAAGGCCCCAAGAUGGGAUCUCACGGGUACAGAAGGUUGCGGCGGUGGAAUUCGGUUUUUGGCUCCGUAUCUGGUAGUUUGGGGGUACGUAGGUAUAUAUAGGAGGAAGAAGUACGUCGGUGGAGCAACGUGGGGCCCAUGAGGGUGGAGGGCGCGCCCAGGGGGGUAGGCGCACCCCCUACCUCAUGCCUUCCUGGUUGAUGUCUUGACGUAGGGUCCAAGUCCUCUGGAUCACGUUCGUUCCGAAAAUCACGUUCCCGAAGGUUUCAAUCCGUUUGGACUUCGUUUGAUAUUCUUUUUCUGCAAAACUCUGAAAUUGGCAAAAAACAGCAAUUCUGGGCUGGGCCUCCGGUUACUAGGUUAGUCCCAAAAAUAAUAUAAAAGUGUAUAAUAAAGCCCAUUAAUGUCCAAAACAGAAUAUAAUAUAGCAUGGAACAAUAAAAAUUAUAGAUACGUUGGAGACGUAUCAAAGUCCACCACCGCGUCAGCUGACUCUCGCUCCUCCAAGUCCACCAAUGCGUCAGGCCACUCCUCCCCCUCCAUGUCCGGCACAGCGUCAGGCCACUCCUCCUGCUUCAAGUCCGGCACAGCCUUAGGCCACUCCUCCUGCUUCAAGACCGACACCGCGUCAGGCCACUCCUCCUGCUUCAAGUCCGGCACGGCGUCAGGCCACUCCUCCUACUCCAACUCAGCCACGUCAGCCGUCUCCGCCGCCUCAGCAAUCGCGGAAGAGAGCCGCCGCAGCUAUGGUGCGUAGCGGUACGAGUCGAGGUAGUAUAGGAGGUACAGGUGGAGGCAAGCGAUAUCAAUAUGGUCCAAGCCUCACUCAUCUUCCUCAAAGGCCUUACGACAUGACCGAGGAGCAAAACACAACCAUAGUGAAGGCCCAAGUGUACGCCCAUUUUGGACCGAAACCGCCACCGCCGCCAAAGGAGAAAGUGCCUGAGGAUAAGAUUGACCACUUUAUUCGUAUGGCUAGAAAACCAGCUCCCAAGCCUGUUGACUCAGACUAUGAGCGCCAAAUCAGGAAGGCACAUCGAGCACGACUACAGAAGGAGUCGAGCUCGAGCUCGAGCCAAGCAGCUGGCAAAAUAUGCAGGAAAACAGUUCCCCAGCUGGGAGAACAGGCGACGCAAUCGAUCCCCCCGCUUGUUGUACCAACACAUGAGAGUACCGGCACCGGUCAGCUGGUAAUAACCGACGAGCAUAGAAGGCAGGCUGAAAUGCUCGGUAUCACUGUUGGACAACUCCUCGAGAUCGAUCCCAUGUCUCCGCUUAGAGAGGAGGACAUAAAACGGAAAUAUGUCUGCGGCGCACCUUUGGUCGAGCCUGAGGAGGUCAAGAACCUCCCAACGAGAAUGUAUGAAUUGCAUGAUUGGUACAUGAAAAUUACCAAGCGUUCCAAUUGAGAGUCCAUCAUGGUGAACGUCAAGGAAGAGCAUUACUUCCAUAAGCUAGCUCUGUCCGUUGAGUAUUCAGAACUAUUUCACUUAUUCAAUCAAGACGCACUCGACAAAUCUCUCGUCUGUUGCUAUUGUAUGUAAGUGAUUUCUUUCUGUAAUUGAAGUCUCAAGCUAGCUGUAGUGCUCAUUGAUCGAUCAUUACCUGUAAUUAUCCUCACUAUAUUCUUUUCUGUGGUAUUAUGCAGGAUGAAGAUGUAUGAAAUGAAAAAAGCUGGACGCUAUGGCAUUGGUUCAUUGACCCAAAUACCAUUAAUGAAGACACAUGGAAAUUGGAAUGAUAUGAAUCAGAUGUAGAGAAAAACAUGCUAGAGUUCUUGAAGCGCCUCAAUACCAAUAAAGAUAUACUACUUCCUUACAACUUCCUGUGAGUCACACUAUCUUGUACUACAAAUUCUGUUUUUGCUUACUAGCUAGCUAGAUGUUAAUAAUUAAGUGUAUAGGGUUUAGGGUAGUUGAUUAGUGUUAUGCACAUGCCCGCUUAAUUAAGACAUGCAAACGUGUGCGCAUGCAGUUACCACUGGAUCUUGUUAAUCAUUAAAGUUGAAGAAGGAACAGUUGAAGUACUGGACUCACUACUUAAAAAAGAAAGUGACUUCACCAUCUUGAAGGGGAUAGUCGAUAGGUAAUUUCAAUCAUUAUUAACUAUAUCUCGACCUAUUUAGUUCGUCAUUUCCUGAUAUCAACUAUUUAAUAACCCCUUUAUUUAUUUUCUUUGCGGGUGGGCAGGGCUUUGGCAAAGUUCAUCAACGUGACUCCAGGCAAGUGGCGAAAAAAGCUGUAUUGGUUUCGACCCAAGGUAAGUAAUUAAGUAGUACUAGCUAGCUACCAUCUCUUUAAUUCUUGUUUCAAUACCAUUAAUUAAUUAUCAUGCUUGAUUAAUUAUUAUCUGAUUAAAUUCUAUUCUCGUAAAGGCCCUGAAGCAGGCGUCGGGGACUGAAGUGUGUGCAUACUACGUUUGCGAGAACAUCCGCAUGAUGGCGUCCGAAAGGAGCAAAUCUGAUAGACAGCAAUGGGUACGUUUGCCAGAACACUAUUCACAAUUUUUACAUGAUUAUCGAUAUCUAGUCAUACAACUAAUACACAUGCAUAUUGAUCUCCUUCUUAACAGUUCAAAGACGUGCGGGAGCAACUCCUACCAACGGAGCGCAUACGAGCACUUGAAGAGGAAAUAGCGGGAUUUUUGCUCGACCAGGUCAUAGAUCCCAAAGGAGAAUACCAUUACCCGCUACCGCCCCCAUGAACCACUCCCAAUUGUCAUCGUGCUCCGAAGGCACCAAGGCAACAUGUAGGAGAAAUUGUAUAUAUACCUAAUUGUAUAUAUACAUGUGGAUGUGUGAAUAAUGGUGGUUGUGAGACAUUCGAUGAUAUAUAUAUAUAUAUAUAUAAAUUCUAUUCAUAUAUAUGCAUAACGUGUACAAUAUGUAGUAUCGUAAAAUACUAGCAAACGAAAAAGAAUUAAAUGGAAAACACAAAAUUAAAGGAAAAGGAAAUCAUGAAUCCAAAACCCCCCCAAACAUUUUAGUACCGGUUGGUGUUACCAACCGGUACUAAAGGGCUCCCCGCCUCUGGCGCUGGCUCGUGCCGCGUGGUGGCCCUUUAGCGGCGGUUCGUGCAAAACCGGUACUAAAGGGGGGGGGGACCUUUAGUCCCCACCCUUUAGUGCCGGUUACAGAACCGGCACUAAACACCCAGAGCAGUCUAACGACUGGAUUACCCGUGAACAAACGAGGACUUUCGCCGGCUGGUUGCAGACACCUGCCAUGCAUGACGCCGCUAUGGAAGAUGACCUGUACUUGCUGUCCCAGUUACCAUCUUCGAAUAUAAUGACUUUCAAAGGGUACAAGAUAAAUGGGAAUACAUUUUACACGAUCGCCCAAGAUAAGAAGAACACCAACCAAAAUAGUGGUGUCCGCUUUGAUGCAGCAACCAAGACGGGAAAGGAAACAUAUUAUGGUUACAUAGAGGACAUAUGGAAACUUGACUAUGGACAUGGUUUGAAGGUCCCUUUGUCUCGGUGCAAAUGGGUCAAUAUGACACGAGGCGGGGUAACGGAAGACCUGCAGUACGGAAUGACAACAGUGGAUCUCAACAAUCUUGUGUAUGCAGACAAACCAUUUGUCCUAGCCAAUGAUGUGGCGCAGGUUUUCUAUGUGAAGGACAUGUCUACGAAGCCGAGAAAAAGAAAAUAUAAGGAAGCGAAUCCAUCAUACGAGGAGCCAAAGUGCCACAAAUAAAUUCACAAAUAAAAAUAUUUACAAAUAAAUUCUAAAUACAGCAAAAAACAAGUCAGAAGUAAAUGAAAGAAAAUAAAUAAAGCAGAAAAGAAAAAAAGAAAAUAAAUAAAUAAAGCCCGCCUACUGGGCCACAACGGCCUGCAUACGACUAGAAACCCAACCUCUAGUUAGGCCAGGAUGCAGGCCCGCAAGGCCCAAUAGGCCCACAGGGCACAGCUAGGCCCAGAAGCUUGCUAUAGAGAGGAGUUCAACACCUCUCCCACGCCGGGGCUUUUAAACAGGUGCGGCUGCUCUUUGCUAGGCGAGGUGGGACUAAACUUCCGCACCACACCAGCGCCAGCGCACCACCUUUAGUACCGGGUCGUGGCUCUAACCGGUACUAAAGGGCGGGGGGUCUUUAGUACCGGUUGGAGCCACCACCCGGUACUAAAAGGGUUCCCUUCCCGCCGCUCCGCCUGGCCAAAACAGGCCUUUAGUACCGGUUGGUGGCUACAACCGGUACUAAAGGUGCCUUCUAUAUAUACAACACUUCAAAAAAAUUCAGUUUCUCAUCUCCCACUUCUCCUCUCUAGCUGCUUCAACUCGCCGCCGCCCCGUCCCGCGCCGUCGCCCGUCGCCAUCCCCGUCGCCACCCCCGCCGCGCGUCAUCGNNNNNNNNNNNNNNNNNNNNNNNNNNNNNNNNNNNNNNNNNNNNNNNNNNNNNNNNNNNNNNNNNNNNNNNNNNNNNNNNNNNNNNNNNNNNNNNNNNNNNNNNNNNNNNNNNNNNNNNNNNNNNNNNNNNNNNNNNNNNNNNNNNNNNNNNNNNNNNNNNNNNNNNNNNNNNNNNNNNNNNNNNNNNNNNNNNNNNNNNNNNNNNNNNNNNNNNNNNNNNNNNNNNCGUCGCCGCUGACCCCGUCCCCGUCGACGCCCCGGCCCGUCGUCGCCGUCUCGCCGCCGCCCCGUCGCCACCUCCAUCGCCUCACCGUUCCCCGACCCGUUGCCCCACUGUAAGAACCCCAGCCGCCAUGCAUAUGGCCGGCCGGCCGCCCCCAAGCCCGUCCGCAUACACACACACACUAAGAUGUGUUUUUCUGUUUUUAGUUUUUAGUUUUUAGUUUUUUCUGUUUUUCAUACAAAGGUUUUAGAUGAAUUAAUUAAUUAGAUUAGAUUAAUGUCAAAUGUCAAAGGUUUUAGAUGCAUUAAUUAAUUAGAUUAAUGUCAAAUGUUAGAUGAAAUUAGCUAGAUAUAUUAAUGUUAGAUGAAUUAUUUUUUUAUACUUUCAGUUCGAUGAAUUAGAUAUAUUAAUUAAUGUUAGAUGGAUUAGUUUUUUAUACUUUUGUCAAAAUGUUAGAUGAAUUAGCUAGCUAGAUAUAUAUAAGAAAUCACAAUCCAAUCAUUUAAAAAAUGUUACGUUUGCAUAUAGUAUUUGUUCUCGACGAUGCCCGGCCCGCAUCCUCGCCGUCGACCCGUUCGCGACGACGUCCUGCUUCAGAGGACCCAUGUCUGGCACUGGGCUCCACCGGGCUGGCACUGGGAGGUGCUACCUUUAGGGGCUCGCCGCUUGGUGAGGAACCCGGCCCCGGGUCCCAUCGUCGACCCUGACCUCCUUUGGUGGCGUUCGCGUGGGCCACUUUCGGUGCGGAGGGAGCCGGCCCCGCCGGAGGUGGUGUGGCGUCGUGUCAGGGAGGAGGACGAGCACGUCCGUCGCUACAUGGCUACUAUGGACGUCAGGUUCUCCAAUACCUGGCAGGUUCUUUGGGGAGAUGACCGGAGCUAUGAUCCUGUGAUGGUUCCUUCUCUUUGGGUGUCCACCGCCCGCGCCUCAGGAACCAUGAGUGGCCUAGAUUAUUCUGUAGUAUUUGAUCUUUAUUAGCUAGCUAGCUAGUGAUGUAUUCGAUAUAUAAUAUUCGAGAUGAUGUAUUCGAGAUUAUAUAUAUUAUUCGAGACAAUGUAUUCGAGAUUAUAUAUAUUAUUCGAGACGAUGUAUCCGAGAUUAUAUAUUAUUCGAGACGAUGUAUUUGAGAUUAUAUACUAUUUGAGACGAUGCGUAUUAUGUACUAUGAUUCAGUUUUUCCUUAUUGAUUGCAUGCAUGCAUUGUAAUUUGAAUACAAAAUUGUUUAAUAUUUCUUCUGGAUUAGUUAAAUAAAAGCUAUGGCGGACAAUACCGGCAAAGAGGGAGAAGAGGCCCUGUUCGAAAUCAUACACUCCCCUCGCGAGCCAGAUGAUCAGAAUGAACAAGAUGAAGGCUCCCAAUAUCUGAACAAUACUGGGAGGGUGAUGAUAUGAUAUUCGAUCGCGACGACCGAAUUGAUGAAGUCAUGAACUAUGAUUAUGAUGACGCCGAAAAUGUUGAUCUUGAAAUAACAGACCGGUGAGGUAUAUUUAUAUAAGCAGGCAUCUGGUGAUCAUCACAUGUUUUUAAUGAUUUGAAGAUAUAUUAACGAAUCGAUCUUUCUUCUUUCAGCCUCCGGAUCGAGCAAAUCUUCUACAGGACGCAAGACAUUGCGAGGCCCGGGCAAAAAGUUGAAGGAGGGCGUAAAGUACAACAUCGAUGCCAUCAUAACUGAUGGCGAACCACUAGCGCCUAAGAACAUUGGGAACAAGUUUGUUCGUCAAUGCGGAGUUCUUGUGAAGGACCAACUCCUGAUCUCCCUUCAAGAAUGGAAAGAGCCAGCAAAGAAACGUCUAGAUCUUACUUUUGUCGACGACAGAGCGAAAUCUCUGCUUUGGGAAAAACUCAUGGAGCAUUUCACCCUACCAGAUCAUUUCACAGAUGCAGAUGUGCAGAAAGUCAAGGACGCUGCUCUUAGGAAGAUGGCAAUUGCAUUCAACACCCACAAGAAAACUGUAUGGGCCAACUACAUCAAAGGAGGAAAGAAGACUCCAGAAUUCAAGGGAACACUGGAGAAGCAAAGAGAACACUGGCCCGCUUUCGUGAAAUUCAAGGAAUCAGAAUUAUCUAAGGAACGGUCGAGAAAAAACAAGGCCAAUGCCGCAAAAAAGGAGCAGUUCCAUAGGCUGGGGCCAGGUGGCUACGCGGUGGCAAUGCCUAAGUGGGAUAAGUCUGAGAAAGAGAUGCUGGGUGCAGAGGUCACUCCAGUUACUAAGAGCUGGCCCCCCAGGUGCAGAACUUGGUUCUAUGUGCAUGGGGGGGGGGGCGUUGGACCCGAAGACAGGCCAGGUUUCGAAGAAGGCAUGUCUUAAAGGAGCUGAAGAUAAGUUACUUGAUGCAAUAGAAGAUGCUCGAAAGGGGGUGUUCACGCCCAACAGAGAGAACGACGAGCUUACGCGUGCCUUGGGAAAUCCUGGACACCCAGGAAGAACACGAGGCAAGUGCGUUGUUUCGUGGUAUGAGGGCUUUUCGGAUUGGAACGCCGACUACGGAAGCCGUGUGAGAAGGAAGAAGCUGGAGGAGGAGCAGAGGAAGCAGGAAGCAGGAAGUAGAACGCCUUCAAGGCCUAGAAUCAGCGCACGCGGACUUGGCACUCAAAUUCCAGCAGCAGCAGCAGAUCGACUCAUUUAGCCAGGAAAGGGGGUCUCCUCCUCGAAGUCCGCCACCGCGUCAGCCGACUCCUCCUCGAAGUCCGCCACCGCGUCAGCAGACUCCCGCUCCUCCAAGUCCACCAACGCGCCAGGCCACUCCUCCUCCUCCAAGUCCGGCACAGCGUGGGGCCACUCCUCUUGCUUCAAGUACGGCACAGCGUCAGGCCACUCCUUUUGCUCCAACUCAGCCACGUCUGUCGUCUCUGCUGCCUCAGCAAUCGCAGAAGAGAGCCGCCGCAGCUAUGGUGCGUAGCGGUACCAGUCGAGGUAGUACAGGAGGUACAGGCGGAGGCAAGCGAUAUCAAUAUGGUCCAAGCCUCACUCCUCUUCCUCAGAGGCCUUACGACAUGACCGAGGAGCAAAACACAGCCAUAGUGAAGGCCCAAGUGGACGCCCAUUUUGGAUCGAAACCGCCACCGCCGCCAAAGGAGAAAGUGCCUGAGAAAGUCCUUGACCACUUUAUUCAUAUGGCAAGAAAACCAGCUCCCAAGCCUGUUGACUCAGACUAUGAGUGCCAAAUCAGGAAGGCACAUCAAGCACGACUACAGAAGGUGUCGAGCUCGAGCUCGAACCAAGCAGCUGGCAAAAAAUGCGGGAAGACCGUUCCCCAGCUGGGAGAACAGGCGGCGCUAUCGAUCCCCUCGCUUGUUUUACCAACACAUGAGAGUACUGGCGCCGGUCAGCUGGUAAUAACCGAUGAGCAUAGAAGGCAGGCUGAAAUGCUCGGUAUCACUGUUGGACAACUCCUCGAGAUCGAGCCCAUGUCUUCGCUUAGAGAGGAGGACAUAAAACAGAAAUAUGUUCGCGGCGAACCUUUGGUCGAGCCUGAGGAGGUCAAGAACCUCCCAACGAGAAUGUAUGAAUUGCAUGAUUGGUACAUGAAAAUUACCAAGAGUUCCAAUCGAGAGUCCCUCAUGGUGAACGUCAAGGAAGAGCAUUACUUCCAUGCGCUAGCUCUAUCCGUUGAGUAUUCAAAACUAUUUCAGUUAUUCAAUCAAGAGGCACUCGACAAAUCUCUCGUCAGUUGCUAUUGUCUGUAAGUGAUUUCUUUCUGUAAUUUAAGUCUCAAGCUAGUUGUAGUGCUCAUUGAUCGAUCAUUACAUGUAAUUAUCCUCACUAUAUUCUUUUCUGUGGUAUUAUGCAGGAUGAAGAUGUAUGAAAUGAAAAAAGUUGGACGCUAUGGCAAUGGGUUCAUUGACCCAAAUACCAUUAAUGAAGACACAUGGAAAUUGGAAUAGUAUAAAGCAGAUGUAGAGAGAAGAAAUGCUAGAGUUCUUGAAGCGCCUCAAUACCAAUGAAGAUAUACUACUUCCUUACAACUUCCUGUGAGUCACACUGUCUUGUACUACAAAUUCUGUUUUUGCUUACGAGCUAGCUAGAUGUUAAUAAUUAAGUGUAUAGGGUUUAGGGUAUAGUUGAUGAGUGUUAUGCACAUGCCCGCUUAUUUAAGACAUGCAAACGUGUGCGCAUGCAGUUACCACUGGAUCUUGUUAGUCAUUAAAGUUGAAGAAGGAACAGUUGAAGUAUUGGAUUCACUACUUAAAAAACAAAGUGACUACUCAAUCUUGAAGGGGAUAGUCGACAGGUAAUUUCAAUCAUUAUUAACUAUAUCUCGGCCUCUUUAGUUCGUCUUUUCCUGAUAUCAACUAUUUAAUAACUCUUUUAUUCAUUUUCGUUGCCGGCGGGCAGGGCUUGGGAAAAGUUCAUCAACGUGACUCCAGGCCAAUGGCGAAAAAAGCUGUGUUGGUUUCGACCCAAGGUAAGUAAUUAAGUGGUACUAGCUAGCUACCAUCUCUUUAAUUCUUGUUUCAAUACCAUUAAUUAUCAUGCUUGAUUAAUUAUUAUCUGAUUAAAAUCUAUUCUCGUAAAGGCCCUAAAGCAGGCGCUGGGGACUGAAGUGUGUGCAUACUAUGUUUGCGAGAACAUUCGCAAGAUGGUGUCCGAAAGGAGCAAAUCUGAUAGACAGCAAUGGGUACGUUUCCCAGAACACUAUUCUCAAUUUUUAAAUCAUUAUCGAUAUCUAGUCACACAACUAAUACACAUGCAUAUUGAUCUCCUUCUUAACAGUUCAAAGAUGUGCGGGAGCAGCUCCUACCAACGGAGCGCAUACGAGCACUUGAAGAGGAAAUAGCGGGAUUUUUGCUCGACCAGGUCAUAGAUCCCAAAGGAGAAUACCAUUACCCGCUACCGCCCCCAUGAACCACUCCCAAUUAUCAUCGUGCUCCGAAGGCACCAAGGCAACAUGUAGGAGAAAUUGUAUAUAUACCUAAUUGUAUAUAUACAUGUGGAUGUGUGAAUAAUGGUGGUUGUGAGACAUUCGAUGAUAUAUAUAUAUAUAUAAAUUCUAUUCACAUAUAUGCAUAACGUGUACAAUAUGUAGUAUCGUAAAAUACCAGCAAACGAAAAAGAAUUAAAUGGAAAACACCAAAUUAAAGGAAAAAGAAAUCAUGAAUCCAAAACCCCCCAGACAUUUUAGUACCGGUUGGUGUUACCAACCGGUACUAAAGGGUUCCCCGCCCCCGGCGCUGGCACGUGCCACGUGGUGGCCCUUUAGCGGCGGUUCGUGCAGAACCGAUACUAAAGGGGGGACCUUUAGUCCCCACCCUUUAGUGCCGGUUACAGAACCGGCACUAAAGGCCCUUAUGAACCGGUGCUAUAGCCCGGUUCUACACUAGUGAGGUGAGGCCUGUCGCACAGACCCCAGUCGUCGUUGCACCAGUCGCACUCCCCCGGGAGAAUUUCGUCGUCCGAUGACGAAAUUUCCUAGGUUCAUAAUUCAAAGAUUAAACUUGUACAAUUAAAUAUAUGUACUACAAAAACUAAAUUAGAUCAUUGUUAUUCAUCGGGUUGACUAUCGGUCCGCCGAGUCUUUUCUUAAAAACUCUCUGCUCACGUGGUGUAUACAUUCGGCCGUUGGUGAUGAUCGCUCCUCGUUUCGUCCCCGAGUACAUUACACCAAAAUGUCUAGCACACGGGAACGAAGGAGAAGCGACCCCCAUGACAACAGUCGGGAUUUUUCGUCCUCUCAUAUAUGGUGGAGACUCUCCCUCACUGAUUCCUCCCUGACAUUUGCGACCGUCGGUGAUGGUCGUUACUCCUCCUUCCCCUAGUGCAAAACAAAGGUCUAGAACAAGGAGAAAAAGGAGAAACGACCCCCACGACAACAGUCGGGAUUCUUCGUCCUCUCUCAUAUAUGGUGGAUACACUCCCUCAUAGAUUUUUCGACCGUCAGUGAUGGCCGUUAUUCCUCCUUCCCCUAGUGCAUAACAAAGGUCUAGCACAAGGAGAAGAAGGAAAAAAUGACCCCCACCACAAUAGUCGGGAUUCUUCUUCUCUCAUAUAUGGUGCAGACUUUCUCCCUCACUCAUUUGUUGACUAUCAUGUAUGGAGCCUCGACAGACUUAAAGUAAACCCGAAAUGUCGUUUAAUUAUUUUUCUAGAAAAUCCAGGCCACUCGAUAUUUCCUACAUUAGCACAAGUCAUGCCAAAAUUCACAGAAAAAUCCGGCAUGACCUUUGCUAAAAAAGGAUAUAUCGAGCGCCUGAAAUUUGUCGGAACGGAAAUUAAUCAACACUCUGGCAAAACAUAGGUCACUCGGAGGUGUAACCUGCAAACAUGGUCGGCCACUUGAGCAAGCACAUAUCCUAUUUGAGCAACACAAGAUAUACAUGUUUAUAUCUACAUCAUAUGAGCAUUCAAACUUGAUGGUCAUUGCAUUUCAAUGGUUGAAAAUAUGAACAAAAACAUUUCAAAAUAUCUUAUAGGACUCAUAUUGACAUGGAGAUUUGGCUGGUCUCACCUCGAGGCCAGAGGGGGUCGGUGACGGGGACGACGGCGGGGAUGAUGGAGGGGCUCCUUGAUUUCUGCAAAAACAAAAACCCUAUAAGCUAUCAACUAAUCAAAUGCAUAUGCCUUGCAUAGUGCUCUCCAAUUUGAGCAUUCAAAAUAGGACUAGUUCUCCAAUUUGAGCAUUCGAUAAGCAAAACCAAAUCAUAAAAUAAAUUAGUAUUCAAAUUAGCAUGCAUUCAAUAAGAGAAACUAAAUCAUCUCUUGCGUCCGUACAUUGUCGAAUAUUAUCACUAAUACAUCUCGAAUAGUAUCAUACAUAUAACAUCACUAAUACAGCUAAAACCCUAGCAAACGACGGGUAUCGGCGCGAGCGGUGGACACCCAAAGAGAAGGAAGCAUCACAGGAUCAUAGCUCCAGUGAGAUCCCUGAAGAACCUACCCUCCAACGCAACCAUGUAGCGACGGACGUGCUCGUCCUCCUCGCUGACACGGUGACGUACCACCUCCGCGGGGUCCUCAAGCCUCUGCACCGUCACUGGCGCACGCGAACGCCACAAAAGAAGGUUCGGGUCAACGACAGGUUGGCUCCUCACCAAGUUGUGCCCCCGGAAGCAGGACCUCCUAGUACCCGCCCGGUGGAGCCCAGUCCCAGACAUGGCCCCUCUGAUCAAGUAGGCCUCCUCCGUCGAGUCAACGACGAGGAUGCUGUAUAGGUAUCGUCGACGUUGAUGCAGGAAUAAUUGCUUUAACUAAAAAAUGAACUAGUUCUAUAGUAAAAUAUUAAUUAGAUCAUCAAAUCUCAUAUAUCUAAAUUUUCUUACAAAAAAUAAACUAGUUCUAUUAAUUCAACUAGUUCAACUAAGCACUUACUAUAAAUAAAAAUAAACUAGUACUUACUAAAAAUAAACUAGUUCUAUUAAUUUUCUAACUAAUUCUAUUAAACACUUACUAAAAACAGUAAAAAAACUAUAUUGAAUUUUUCCUCUAAACUAAACACUACUGCCCUAAAUUAACAUCUAAUUAGUUACCUAACCUAAUUAACAUCUACUUAGUUACCUAACCUACUUCCCUAACUAAAAAACAUCUAAUUAACAAUACCACUACUGCCCUAACCUAAUUAACAUCUUCUUAGUUAACCAAAUUAGUUAACCAAACAUCUAAAAACAUAUAAUUAACCUAGUUAGUAAACCAAAUUAACCUAGCUAUUUCACUUAGUUCAACUUAGUUAACCUAAUGAACUAAAUUCACCUAAGUUAAUUAACCUAGAGGGAGGAGGAGUACCCCUCGAUGGAGGACGGCCAGCGCGGGGGGGGGAGGAGGGCCGCCGCGGGAGGUCGGUCGGUGCGGGAGGNNNNNNNNNNNNNNNNNNNNNNNNNNNNNNNNNNNNNNNNNNNNNNNNNNNNNNNNNNNNNNNNNNNNNNNNNNNNNNNNNNNNNNNNNNNNNNNNNNNNNNNNNNNNNNNNNNNNNNNNNNNNNNNNNNNNNNNNNNNNNNNNNNNNNNNNNNNNNNNNNNNNNNNNNNNNNNNNNNNNNNNNNNNNNNNNNNNNNNNNNNNNNNNNNNNNNNNNNNNNNNNNNNNNNNNNNNNNCAGUAGCGCUUCCUACAUAAAAGCGCUACUACUAUGGCUGGCCUGCCGGCAACGGUCUGGCAAUUUUAGUAGUAGCAUGUUUUAUGAACACAACGCUACUGGUAAGUGCAUAGUAGCAGCGCUUAUCAUGUGCAAGCGCUACUGAUAAGUAGUAGUAGUGGUUUCUUAUAAAAAGCACUACUAAUAAGCUCAUGUGUAUAGGCAUUUCCCUAGUAUUGUGUGGCCAACGUGGCAUCAAUCAAAUCACCGACCAUCUGGGGAGGGUUGUUUAUUCGUGCACCAUAAGGCUGCAUCAUCUCCUUCCUAGGGAUCCAGUUCUCAUUCCAAAUGCUAGUGGAAUUACCAUUGCCAAUAGUCCAUCAAGCCCUGUUUCAAUAUGUCUCGGCCUUCCACUAUGGAUCUCCAAACUUGGCUCGGAUGGCUGCCUAGCCUCACCUGACAGGAUAGAUGACUCCGGAAAGUAUAUGCUUCUAAGAAUCCGAGCACUUAGCGACUCCGGGUGUUGAAGGAUCCUCCAUGCCAGUUUUGCCAAAAGUGCUAAAUUGAAUAAUUCAAAAUCCUUGAAUCCCAAGCCUCCCAUGCUCUUUGGUUGUGUCAUCGCCUCCCACGAGACCCAAUUUGGUUGGCGCUUUCCAUCUUUGCUCCCCCACCAGAACUUACGAUUAGCAUGUUUAGAUGUUCACAUAGUCCCCUAGGCAACUUGAAACAUGACAUAUAGAAAAGUGGUACUGCCUGGGCCACUGAUUUCACUAAAACCUCCUUGCCUGCUGUUGACAUCGUUUUCUCAAUCCAUCCUUGAACUUUACUUGAGUGCACCAUUCUUGGAGGAUCCCACAUCAGAGGGCAUCUCUAAGUAUUUUGCACUUAAAUUCUCAUUUGGAACUUGCAGCAAUGCCUUUACCUCCUCUUUUAUACUGUCAGGGCAUUUCUUACUGGAGAAAAUUGAGGAUUUCUCAUGAUUAAUCCUUUGUCCCGAAGCCUGACGAUAUUGUUCAACAACUGGUUUACCUCAUUCGCCCCAUCUGCACUAGCCUUAAAAACAGUAGGCUGUCAUCAGCGAAUAAUAAGUGAUUAACUGGUGGUGCAGAAGCUGCCACCUGUAUCCCACCUAUGUUGGAUGACUCGUCAAUAGAUUUUAAGAGACACGAAAGGCCCUCUACUGCAAUCAAGAAUAGAUAUGGGGAAAUAGGGUCUCCCUGUGAAUUCCACGAGAAGGUUUUAACUCUUCUAGCUUCCUGCCAUUAAAAAGAACUGAGAAUUCCACAGAUCUUACCAUGCCCAUGACUAUAUUUACCCACAUCUCGAUGAACCCCAAUUUCAACAUAAUUCCUGGAGGUAAUCCCACUCUACUCUGUCAUAUGCCUUCAUCGUGUCAAGUUUUAGUGCACAGUGGUUGUUUCUCUUAGAUAUGUUAUGCUUCAUGAAGUGAAGACACUCAUAGGCAGUAAUAUGUUGUCAGUGAUAAGCCUGCCAGCAACAAAGGCAGGUUGUUCCUCUGAGAUGAUGUCAGGAAGCACUAACUUGAGCCUAUUUGAUAUCACCUUGGAUGCUAUCUUGUAAAGCGCACUACAAAGUGAGAUAGGUCUAAACUGUGUCAAUGAACUGGGGUUCUUUACCUUCGGUAUAAGGAUAAGGAUUGUGUCAUUUAUGGACUCCACUGAUUCAGUUCCAUUGAUGAUGCGAAGAAAAAUAUAUGUUACCUCUGUCCCACAAACUUCCCAAUGCCGCUGAAAGAAAUGUGCUGGAAAUCCAUCUGGACCCGGCGCCUUCGUGGGAAACAUUUGGAAAAGGUCUACCUUGACUUCCUCUUGCAUGUAAUCCGCUUCCAGAAUCUGGUUCAUCACCGGGGUGACCUUUGGGGGUACCGAGUCAAGCAUCCGAUUAGUAUCAUGUACUCCCUCAGACAAAUACAAGUUGCCGUAACAAUUUGUAGCGUGCUCUUCCAUCUCGGCUACAUCCUCGGUCUCCCACCCAUCUAGUAGUCGUAGAGCCUUGAUCUAAUUAUUUUUCCUCCGUCUACUUGCCCUUAAGUGGAAAAAAUAUGUGUUCUUAUCACCAUGUACUAACCACUCCACCCGGGCCCUCUGACGUGAUAGGAUCUCUUCUCUAUUGAACAGUUCAACCAGCCGGUCACACGCUUUAAUCUCUGCCCAAGAAGGUUCGGUUCUUCCUGGGACAGCACGUAGCAAAGCCAGCUAAUUCUGUAAGCUUCGGAUCUCGCGCCUGACAUUGCCAAAAACAUUGUGAUCCCAUGCAGCUAGAUCUUCUGAAAGCAACCCGAGCUUUUCUUUAAUCCCUUGAACAGUUCCCUCCUGUUGCUAUCCCCAACCUUUUGCCACAAUAGCCACUAGCAUCUCAUGUGAUUCCUAUUGGAAAUAUGAGCAAUUUACCGAAUAAUUUUAUUAAUGGAAAUACUAGAUAAAGCAUGACUAAUAUAACAGAGAUAAAGCAAGUCAUGCAAUCUGACAGAGAGAAGGUAAAUAGCAUCUGCAUAUAUGAACUAGAAUGAGUAUGAGAACAUACGGAAUAGGAGCAGAAGCACUGGUCUUGGGGUCGGUGUCCUCGCCAGCCAUGUCAUCGAGGAGGUUGUCGAUGUCGGGGAAGAAGUCGUCGUCGGGGAAGUAGUCGUCGGAGUCCGGGGCGUCCGUGAUGAAGAAGUCAGUAGUCGCGCGGAGUGCUCCCCAAAAACCUUAUCACCCUCCUCCCGUUCAGGACUCAAAGAGGUGCGGUUUUGGAGGCCUACUGUCCUAACUCGCGGUGCACGCCGCAAGCUAGGAUGAGGAAGACAGCAACAUCUCGGAGAUUGGAACCGGUGGCGAGAGGAAGAAGAAGUUAUGGUGCGUCUCCCUGAGAGGAGUGACCUCCCUUUUAUUGGCGCAAGAGAAGGAGGCGAGAGGCCAGCGAUGGGAGAUGAAGAAAAAGAGGGAGACGAAGCGAACAGACUUCAGCCGAAGAGGCGCGCCGUUCGGAUUUAGUGUCCACUACAGAAAAUGCUUCAGCUCUCACGUGACCUUUCGUAUACCCGUCGUGCGUGGCAAAAAUUUAGACAUCAGCUCGGCUCAUUCCCUCGACCGCAACCCACAUCACGGCGCGGCGCAUCAUGACGAGGCGUGGCGUGGCGAGGCGGGCGGCGGAGGAGGAGCACGAUGGAUGUCCCUCUUGUUCUCAUGCUCAUACAUGUGGGGAAAGAACCUCCCUCAUAAAGAGGUCCAACUCCCUCUAAACUAGCAAUGUGGGACUAAACUUUAGUAGUGCCCCUUGCCUUGCACGAAUGGGCUAAGUGGCCUCUAGGAUUUAUUAGGAAUUUCUGAAAUUUUGAUUGGGCUGGCCCAUAAUUAGAUAAAAUUCCAGCAAUCCCCCACCAGAUCCAAGAGGCACACAAAAUUUGCCUUUGGUUCCAAAACACUGUUUUAUAUACCGGUAUUGCAGUGGAGACUGUUAAAGUUGAACUUCCACCUAGAACUCUAUGCUACACUAGUAAGCAACUUGAACAGUGGACUGGGCCUUGAACUGCAAGUUUUCUGCGAAUCUAGCUUCACACAAAUCCUUGACCGAUACUAGGCUACCGUGGAUCUUUCCCGUGGGUGGAGCUUAUGCGUCAUACUCCGUGUCCUUUCAUGAGUUAACUAGAGAGAACCAUACUCUCAUAGAUUGCGACAUUUGACAAUCAGACUCAUAUAGGUGUGUUCUUCAAAAGAUUAUCUGCAGGACAACAUCUCUACUUCAAUGAGCCACUUAGAACACAUUAAGAUAUACAUCAACCUGCCAUGUAGAUUUAGGAGAGUAUUGCAUCUUCAUGGAGUGGUAUUGUUAACAGUAAGGAUACUCUCCUCUUAGUUGACCAAUAGCUUGUCUUCCACAUCUAAUUCACGGGAUCUCCGAUCACAUAGACUAGGUUACCACUGUGAACAACUCAUAUUGCGGGUCUCAUACCCAUAUCCUUCGAUGCAUUAUAUAUCACAUUAUGUGAUAGACCCUUAGUAAAAGGAUUUGCCAGAUUUUUAGAUGUUUGGAUAUAUCCAAUGCAAUAACUCUGGAGUUUUUUAUUUUCCUGACAGACUUUAACCUUCUCUGAACGUGUCUUGAUGACUUCAUGUUAUCCUUUGAGCUGCUCACUUUCGUGAUCACAGUUGAUUGUCGCAGUUCAUAAGGAUACCCGGUACAAGUUUCUCCACAACCGGCAAGUCAUUCAAAAGCCGAUGAAGCCAAUCUGCUUCGACCGUAGCUGUAUCUAGUGUUGUGAGUUCUGCUUCCAUUGUUGACCUCGUUAAGAUGGUCUGCUUGCAAGACUUCCAAGAAACAGCGCCACCUCCAUGAGUGAAUACAUAUCCGCUCGUGGCCUUUAUCUCAUCAGCAUCUGAGAUCCAGUUUGAGUCACUAUACCCUUCAAGCACCUUUGGCUGCCCAGUGUAGUGAAUUCCAUAAUUCGGAGUGCCUUUCAAAUAACGCAAAACUCUCUCUAGAGCUUUCCAAUGCACAUCUCCUGGUUUUGAGACAAACCGACUCAGUUUGCUAACAGCAAAAGAGAUGUCAAGUCUUGUAGCACUGGCUAAGUACAUAAGCGAGCCUAUAACCUGAGAAUAUUUCAAUUGAUCUCUAGCAAUUCUUCGAUUCUUUCGAAGCAGCAUGCUAGCAUCAUAUGGUGUUGGAGAGGGCUUGCAGUCACUAUAGCCAAAGCGACUCAAGAUCUUUUCCACAUAGUGAGACUGAAGCAGUGUAAUCCCAUCAUCAUCGUCUCUCAACAACUUGAUGUUCAGAAUGACAUCAGCCACUCCUAAAUCCUUCAUCUCAAAAUAGCGAGAUAGAAAAUCCUUGACCUCCUUAAUAACAUUCAGAUUUGUUCCGAAAAUCAGUAUGUCAUCAACAUACAAGCAAAGGAUAACUCCCUCGCCCCCACCAUGGCGAUAGUACACACAUUAUCAGCUUCGUUUACAACGAAGCCUGCAACUGUUAAUGUCGGAGUAAAUGACCACGGGUAGCCUCAUCGGCCCCCCAUGGUAUUUCAAGGCAUCGGGGCUAGCUGCGCCCCUCAAAGCAUCUAAGCCGAAUGGCCGCAUUCUUGGGCCGGCUGGUCCAACCGGCCGGCUGCUAGAAGGCGGCGGAACCCAGAAGGCGGCCACAAUGUAGGCCGGCUCCUGGCAGGCGGCCCCUCGUCCUCUCGUAGUUAGCACCUCAUUACCAUGAUGAGACAGGGCGUGGCCACAGUGCUGCCUGCCACCCCCGAAUCCGAGGCCGAACGUGGUCAUAGUGUAGCGUACUAGGCGGACAUCCCUUGCCCGGCGCAACACUGUUGCCACGCUACCCGUGACAUCAUCCAUGGCAGAGGAAGCCAUGCUCCCACGACGGGCUGUCGGUACGGCCCGCAGGCGGUGGGCCCUACCUAUCCGUGAGAUACCAGAUGGCGGCGAGCCCUGACCAGGCGGCACGGGGGUGGGCCGACUCCUAGCAGGCAGCCUUCCUCCUCCCUUGGAGUCUGUGCGCCAUUAACUAGAUAAGACGGGAUGUGGCUACAGUGAGCGCCCGCCAGGCGGUGGGACUGUAGCCAUGCUCCCCCCGACAAAGCCUCCGUCAUCAGGGGCGAGGCUACAGUAUAGAGCAGCUGACAUGACCCAUAGGCGGCGGGCCCUACCUGUCGACCGAGAGCACGGCAGCUGGCGAGACCCACCAGGCAGCGGACCCCACUCGGCCGGAUUACCAUUGUACCCCUGGGGGUAGGCCUAUAUAAACCCCCCAGGUCACCCAUGCAAAAGGUUCAGACUUUAGACACCACACACACAUAGAGAGAGUGGAGUAGGGCUAGCCUUGUUCUUCUCGCUCCUCUAGCCAAAACAGCUCAAGGAGCAAGCUUGUAGCUCCCUUGUUGAGAUAGUGAUCAUGCGGAGACCCCGCAGAGCAAGACAAGGGGUGUUAUCUCCUAGGAGAGCCCCGAACCUGGGUAAGACUCGCCGGCACAGGCGAUCUCGCUCACUCCCGCUUCUAGGCACCGGCGACGUACUCUUGUCCUCCUCCAUGAUAAGCCACACCCUGGCAUAUGUCGCUAGAUAUCCCUGACAUUUGGCACCCACCGUGGGGCUAGGUGCACCGUCGUCCGGAGACAUGUUCUCGACGGGAACCCUCUUCCUUCCUAGUGAGCAUAGCCAUCCCGACAAGCCCGAUGGCGUUUGCGCCGAUGCGCUGCAUGGCGCAGAAGUCGCUUGCGCGGCGAGCUGCCUCGUUGAUCUCAUCGGCGGGAUCCGCCUCCCCGACGAGCCCUCACCCGACGCGGGAGCGGCUAGCUCUGAGAGCUGCCUCAUCGACCUCCUCGGCAAGCUUCACAUCGCCAACGAGCCGGCCUCUAACCUAGAGUCAGUUGGCUCCACUGACCCGAUGCUCGUCGACUCUGACGCGGCGUCCCUCGACGCUUUCCCCACCAACAUGGUGAUCUUCGACGACCCCCUCCCUCGCACGGACAGCAACGGCAGCACCGUCACGGAGGUGCUUGUCAUCAGCCACAAUGAAGCGUCUGGUGGGGCCGGCCAGGAUCUGCUGUAGGCGGCAGUGCGGAACCUGUCCGCGCCCACCACGGCAGACGCCAAUGGCGAGACACUGGAAGCCUGCCGCAUCGCACUCCUCGAGAGCGCCAACAAGUUGAAGGCCAUGAGGCGCCUCACUGAAGCCUACCAGUGCGAGAUCGACCGCGCCGUCUGCGGCACGCUGGCUACUGGCGAGCCCAGCCGUGUGGGCACGGUCCGACAACGCGGUGCGGCCACCGCCAGCAUGUUGGGGGCCGACCGCCCAGUCUACGCCACGCCUAUGGAGAACCUACGCACUGCCCACGCAGCAGCUGACGAGCUGGACCACCUGGAGGGCGACGAGCGUCGCUGCAUGACGGAGCGCGUUCAGCAGCUCCUCGACGUGGCCGCCGCGUGGUGGAGCCCGACCAGCAGGCUGAGAACCCCCCUCCCCCCGCCGAGAACACGGCGUGACCUCUCGGUCGCCGACAGCUAGCGCCCGAGACCGAAGAGACCAAGAGCCGGCUGCUAGCCGCAGCCGCACACGCAUCACCAUCGAGCGCGACCCAGACGGCCACCCAUGAGUAGUGGAACGGCGGGACGAUCGUCCGCCUCCCUGCCGCUUGUAGAGAAUCCGACUUUCGGAGGCCGCCUGGGCCCCCGUGAAGGAGUCGGAGAGAAUGACGCUCGCCACCGGAUCGACCGACUGGCCCGGUCCCUGGCAGUAGAAGAAGAAGAUGCAAUCGGCCCGCCUUGUUUUGGCCCCCGCAUUCGUGACGAGCCCUUCCCCAAAGGGUUCUCGCUCCCUCGAGACACUCCCAAGUACAACGGCUCCAUGAAGCCGGAAGAUUGGCUGGUUGACUACUCCACCGCAGUCAACAUAGCAAACGGCAACAAGCGUGUUGCCAUGAAGUACGUUCCGCUCAUGCUCCAGGGCACGGCCCGGACAUGGCUGAACAGCCUCGAGCCCUACAGCGUCAACAGCUGGUUGGACUUCACCGAAGUCUUCAUCCGCAACUUCACCAGGACUUACAAGCGGCCGCCCAAGCCUCGCCAGCUCUCUCUGUGCGUCCAAGGCCCCACUGAGUCCACCCGCAACUACCUGACGCGGUGGGCCGAACUGCACAACUCCUGCGAAGGGGUGCACGAGUUGCAAGCCAUAGAGUACCUCACCACCGGGUGCAGAGAAGGUACCCUACUCAAGCACCGACUCCUCUGCGAUGAGCCGGCCGCACUUGACGAACUACCGAUCAUAGCAGACAAGUACGCCACUGCCACUCCUCCAUGAAGUCGGAGCUCCUGGUGGACAUGUCCGGGAAGGUGCUCCCUCCGGCUCCUCGAACACCGGCUGGUGACUCCAGUCGGCGCCAGCAGCAGAGCGACAACAAGCGCAAAGCCCCGCAGCCGCCUUCUACCAGCCGGCAGGUGGCAACUGUUGAAGACCAGCAGCCGGAGGGCCAACCCCUCCCCAAGCGUCAGAAGGGCGGCAAGCCUGCUUGGUUGCCCGCCUUCUCCUAUGAGCAAACCCUCGAUGCUCCCUGCAAGUUCCACAGCGACGCGAAGCCGUCCAAUCACACCACGCAGAAGUGCCACUGGCUCACCCGAAUCGCCAAGGGCGAAGGACUGCCGCCUCCGCCUCCUCCUCAGCAGCAGGCGGCCCGUCCAGUCGCCGCCAUCCAGGACGAAUUCCCUUAAGAACACGGAGCCUACGUCGUCUUCACCAUCGUGGCCGAUGAUAGGCACAACCGACGCUAGCAGCACAGAGAGGUGAAUGUUGUCGCUUCUGAAGCCCCAGAUUUCAUGCAUUGGUCCGAAAGGUCCAUCAGUUGGAGCCGUGCUGACCACCCGGAGGUGAUGCCUUCUCCGGGGUCUUACGCCCUGGUGUUGGAUGCCACCUUUUCAACGGAGAGGUGAGCUGCUCGCUUCUCCCGAGUCCUGAUAGACAGCGGUAGCAGCAUCAACAUCCUUUACCGCGACACCAAGGAGAAACUGCACAUCAAAGAGAAGCAACUCCAGCCCAGUCGGACUGUCUUCCACGGCAUUGUACCUGGCCUUUCCUGCUCACCAAUCGGCAAGAUCAAGAGAGAUGUCCUAUUUGGAGACAAGGGUCACUUCCGCCGCAAGGCAAUUUGGUUCGAGGUGGUUGACCUGGAGAGCCCUUAUCACGCGCUCCUAGGCCGGCCAGCUCUAGCCAAAUUCAUGGCGGUACCGCACUAUGCCUACCUCAAGAUGAAGAUGCCGGGUACCAAGGCAUUAUCAUCGUAGCCGGAGACUACAAGAAGUCGGCCGCAUCUGCUACUGCUAGCAGCUGGCUGGCCGAGUCCCUUGUGAUUGCUGCCGAAACGAAGCUCCUUGACCGGGUUGUGGCCAUGGCCAGCAAGCAGCCGGACAUGUCGCCAGAUCCCAAGGAGUCAGAGACCCAGGGCUCCUUCCAGCCGGCCAAAGAAACCAAGAAGAUACCCUUGGACUCGGACCACCCGGAGAGGCACGCUAUCGUGGGGACCAACCUCAAUAUCAAAUAGGAAAGCUAGCUCGUCGAUUUCCUCCGUGAGAAUCGGGACAUCUUCGCAUGUCUCCCAAAGACAUGCCGGGUGUUCCGACGGAUUUCGCCGAGCACAAGCUACACGUCAGAUCAGAUGCAAAUACAGUCAAGCAGCCUCUCUGCCGCCUAUCAGAAGAGAAGAGAAGAAUUGUUGGUGAAGAGAUAGCUCGGCUUCUAGCAGCCGGCUUCAUUAUGGAAGUGUUUUUUCCAGAGUGGCUUGCCAACCCAGUCCUUGUACUGAAGAAGAACAACAAAUGGCGCAUGUGUAUAGAUUACACUAGCCUCAACAAAGCCUGUCCCAAAGAUCCGUUUGCUCUGCCCCGGAUAGAUCAAGUGAUAGACUCCACAGCCGGAUGCGAGCUGCUGUCUUUCCUUGAUGCCUACUCCGGCUACCACCAGAUUAAGCUGAACCUGGCCGAUCGGCUGAAGACCGCCUUCAUCACACCAUUCGGAGCCUUCUGCUACCUGACCAUGACAUUCGGCUUGAGAAAUGUCGGUGCCACCUUUCAGCAUUGCAUGCAGAAGUACCUCCUCAAGCAACUCGGCAGAAAUGCCCAUAUCUACGUAGACGAUAUUGUGGUGAAGACGGAGAAGCGCGGCACCCUCUUGGAAGAUCUCAAGGAGACUUUUGAUAAUCUGUGCCGUUUUCAAAUCAAGCUCAACCCAGAGAAGUGUGUCUUCGGAGUCCCAGCCGGCCAGCUCCUUGGUUUCCUUGUCUCGGAACACGGCAUCGAGUGCAACCCUGUCAAGAUCAAGGCCAUCGAGCGGAUGGAGAGACCUACCCGACUGCGAGACGUCCAGAAGUUCACCGGGUGCUUGGCAUCCAUCAGCCUCUUCAUCAGUCGGCUGGGCGGGAAGGCUCUCCCCCUGUACCAGUUGAUGAAGAAAACCACUCACUUUGAGUGGAAUGACAAGGCGGACGAGGCCUUCCUCCAGCUCAAGAAGAUGUUGACCACGCCACCUGUCCUGGCGGCUCCGGCUGCUAAGGAGCCCAUGCUCCUCUACAUCGCCGCCACUAGCCGGGUGGUCAGCACUGUCAUUGUGGUAGAGCGCCCAGAAGAAGGCAAACCACAGCCGGUCCAGAGGCCUGUGUACUACUUGAGUGAGGUGUUGUCGGCCUCAAAGCAAAACUACCCCACUACCAGAAGAUGUGCUACGGCGUGCACUUCGCUGCCAAGAAGCUAAAGCCAUACUUUCAAGAGCACCCCAUCACGGUUGUCUGCACCACCCCGCUUGCUGAGAUCAUAGGCAACAGAGAUGCAUCAGGCCGGGUGGCCAAAUGGGCCAUCGAGCUGGGCCCCUACACCAUCUUCUACCAGCCUCGCACCGCCAUCAAGUCCCAAGCGCUGGCCGACUUCCUCGUCGACUAGGCCGAGGCCCAGUUCCUGCUGCCAGCGCCGGAUUCCACCCAUUGGCGGAUGCACUUUGAUGGCUCGAAGAUGCGCACCGGUCUGGGAGCCGGCAUCGUCCUCACUUCUCCCAAUGGCGACAAGCUCAGAUACACGCUGCAAAUCCAUUUUGCCGCCUCCAACAACGUGGCCGAGUACGAGGCGCUAGUACACGGCCUCCGGCUCGCCAAGGAGAUUGGCAUCCACCGGAUUCUGUGCUACGGCGACUCGGACUUGGUGGUCCAAUAGUCGUCUGGCGAUUGGGACGCCAAGGAUGCAAACAUGGCAAGCUACCGCUUCCUCGUGCAACAGAUCAGUGGAUACAUCGACGGGUGCGAGUUCCUUCACGUGCCACGGGCCAACAACGAGCAAGCAGAUGCCCUGACAUGCAUUGGCUCUACCUGGUAGGCCAUAUUGCUACCUCUUGAGCACUGCGUUGGUUUUCCAUUGAAGAGGAAAGGGUGAUGCAGCAAAGUAGCGUAAGUAUUUCCCUCAGUUUUUGAGAACCAAGGUAUCAAUCCAGUAGGAGGCCACGCAUGAGUCCCUCGCACCUACACAAACAAAUAAAUCCUCGCAACCAACGCGAUAAGGGGUUGUCAAUCCCUACACGGUCACUUACGAGAGUGAGAUCUGAUAGAUAUGAUAAGAUAAUAUUUUUGGUAUUUUUGUGAUAAAGAUGCAAAGUAAAGAAAGUAAAAUAAAAGCGGCAAUGGAAAUAGCUUGUUGUUGGAAGAUUAAUAUGAUGAAAAUAGACCCGGGGGCCAUAGGUUUCACUAGUGGCUUCUCUCAAGAGCAUAAGUAUUUUACGGUGGGUCAACAAAUUACUGUUGAGCAAUUGACAGAAUUGAGCAUAGUUAUGAGAAUAUCUAGGUAUGAUCAUGUAUAUAGGCAUCACGUCCGAGACAAGUAGACCGACUCCUGCCUGCAUCUACUACUAUUACUCGACACAUCGACCGCUAUCCAGCAUGCAUCUAGUGUAUUAAGUUCAUAAGAACAGAGUAACGCUUUAAGCAAGAUGACAUGAUGUAGAGGGAUAAACUCAUGCAAUAUGAUAUAAACCCGAUCUUGUUAUCCUCGAUGGCAACAAUACAAUACGUCCCUUGCUGCCCUACUGUCACUGGGAAAGGACACCGCAAAAUUGAACCCAAAGCUAAGCACUUCUCCCAUUGCAAGAAAGAUCAAUCUAGUAGGCCAAACCAAACUGAUAAUUUGAAGAGACUUGCAAAGAUAACCAAUCAUACAUAAAAGAAUUCAGAAGAUUCAAAUAUUGUUCAUAGAUAAACUUGAUCAUAAACCCACAAUUCAUCGGUCUCAACAAACACACCGCAAAAGAAGAUUACAUCGAAUAGAUCUCCACAAGAGAGGGGGAGAACAUUGUAUUGAGAUCCAAAUAGAGAGAAGAAGUCAUCUAGCUAAUAACUAUGGACCCGAAGGUCUGAGGUAAACUACUCACACAUCAUCGGAGAGGCUAUGGUGUUGAUGUAGAAGCCCUCCGUGAUCGAUGCCCCCUCCGGCGGAGCUCCGGAACAGGCCCGAAGAUGGGAUCUCACGGGUACAGAAGGUUGCGGCGGUGGAAUCAGGUUUUUGGCUCUGUAUCUGGUAGUUUGGGGGUACGUAGGUAUAUAUAGGAGGAAGGAGUACAUCGGUGGAGCAACGUGGGGCCCACGAGGGUGGAGGGCGCGCCCAGGGGGUAGGCGCGCCCCCUACCUCGUGGCUUCCUGGUAGCUUUCUUGACGUAGGGUCCAAGUCCUCUGGAUCAUGUUCGUUCCAAAAAUCACGUUCCCGAAGGUUUCAUUCCGUUUGAUAUUCUUUUUCUGUGAAACUCUGAAAUAGGCAAAAAAACAACAAUUCUAGGCUGGGCCUCCGGUUAAUAGGUUAGUGCCAAAAAUAAUAUAAAAGUGUAUAAUUAUGCCCAAUAAUGUCCAAAACAGAAUAUAAUAUAGCAUGGAACAAUCAAAAAUUAUAGAUACGUUGGAGACGUAUCAAGCAUCCCCAAGCUUAAUUCCUGCUCGUCCUCGAGUAGGUAAAUGAUAAAAACAGAAUUUUUGAUGUGGAAUGCUACUUGGCAUAAUUUCAAUGUAAUUCUUCUUAAUUGUGGUAUGAAUAUUCAGAUCCAAAAGAUUCAAUAUAAAAGUUCAAUAUUGACAUAAAAAUAAUAAUACUUCAAGCAUACUAACUAAGCAAUUAUGUCCUCUCAAAAUAACAUGGCCAAAGAAUGUUCAUCCCUACAAAAUCAUAUAGUUUAGUCAUGCUCCAUUUUCGUCACACAAGAAUGCUCUCAUCAUGCACAACCCCGAUGACAAGCCAAGCAAUUGUUUCAUACUUUAGUAAUCUCAAACUUUUUCAACCUUCACGCAAUACAUGAGCUUGAGCCAUGGAUAUAGCACUAUGGGUGGAAUAGAAUAUAAUGAUGGGGGUUAUGUGGAGAAGACAAAAAAGGAGAACGUCUCACAUCAACAAGGCUAAUCAAUGAGCUAUGGAGAUGCCCAUCGAUUAAUGUUAAUGCAAGGAGUAGGGAUUGCCAUGCAACGGAUGCACUAGAGCUAUAAAUAUAUGAAAGCUCAACAAAAGAAACUAAGUGGGUGUGCAUCCAACUUGCUUGCUCACGAAGACCUAGGGCACUUGAGGAGGCCCAUUGUUGGAAUAUACAAGCCAAGUUCUAUAAUGAAAAAUUCCCACUAGUAUAUGAAAAUGACAAAACAAGAGACUUUCUAUGAUGAAGAUUAUGGUGCUACUUUGAAGCACAAGUGUGGUAAAAGGAUAAUCACAUUGUCCCUUCUCUCUUUUUCUCUCAUUUUUUGGCCUUCUCUUUUUUUUUAUUUGGCCUUUCUCUCCUUUUUUUUAUUGGGACAAUGCUCUAUGAAUGAUGAUCAUCACACUUCUAUUUAUUUACAACUCAAUGAUUACAACUCGAUACUUAGAACAAAGUAUGACUCUAUAUGAAUGCCUCCGGCGGUGUACCGGGAUAUGCAAUGAACCAAGAGUUACAUGUAUGAAAGUUAUGAAUGGUGGCUUUGCCACAAAUAGUAUGUCAACUACAUGAUCAUGCAAAGCAAUAUGACAAUGAUGAACGUGUCAUGAUAAACGGAACGGUGGAAAGUUGCAUGGCAAUAUAUCUCGGAAUGGCUAUGGAAAUGCCAUAAUAGGUAGGUAUGGUGGCUGUUUUGAGGAAGAUAUAAGGAGGUUUAUGUGUGAAAGAGCGUAUCAUAUCAUGGGGUUUGGAUGCACCGGCGAAGUUUGCACAAACUCUCAAUGUGAGAAAGGGCAAUGCACGGUACCGAAGAGGCUAGCAAUGAUGGAAAGGUGAGAGUGCGUAUAAUCCAUGGACUCAACAUUAGUCAUAAAGAACUCACAUACUUAUUGCAAAAAUCUACAACUCAUCAAAAACCAAGCACUACGUGCAUGCUCCUAGGGGGAUAGAUUGGUAGGAAAAGACCAUCGCUCGUCCCCGACCGCCACUCAUAAGGAGGACAAUCAAAGAACACAUCAUGCUUCAAAUUUGUUAUAUAACGUUUACCAUACGUGCAUGCUACGGGACUUGCAAACUUCAACACAAGUAUUUCUCAAUUUCAAAACUACUCAACUAGCAUAACUUUGAUAUCACUACCUCCAUGUCUCAAAACAAUCAUCAAGUAUCAAACUUCUCUUAGUAUUCAGCACACUCAUAAGAAAGUUUUUACUAAUCUUGAAUACCUAGCAUAUUAGGAUUAUUUAAGAAAAUUACCAUGCUAUUUAAGACUCUCAAAAUAAUCUAAGUGAAGCAUGAGAGAUCAAUAGUUUCUAUAAAACAAAUCCACCACCGUGCUCUAAAAGAUAUAAGUGAAGUACUAGAACAAAAACUAUAUAACUCAAAGGAUAUAAGUGAAGCACAUAGAGUAUUCUAAUAAUUUCCGAAUCAUGUGUGUCUCUCUCAAAAGGUGUGUACAGCAAAGAUGAUUGUGGUAAACUAAAAAUCAAAGACUCAAAUAAUACAAGACACUCCAAGCAAAACACAUAUCAUGUGGUGAAUAAAAAUAUAGCUCCAAGUAAAGUUACCGAUGGAAGUAGACGAAAACUGGGGAUGCCUUCCGGGGCAUCCCCAAGCUUUGGAUUUUAGGUGUCCUUAGAUUAUCUUGGGGGUGCCAUGGGCAUCCCCAAGCUUAGGCUCUUGCCACUCCUUGUUCCAUAAUCCAUCAAAUCUUUUACCCAAAACUUGAAAACUUCACAACACAAAACUUAACAGAAAAUCUCGUGAGUUCCGUUAGCGAAAGAAAACAAAAGACCACUUCAAGGUACUGUAAUGAACUCAUUCUUUUUUUAUAUUGGUGUUAAACCUACUUUAUUCCAACUUCUCUAUGGUUCAUAAACUAUUUUACUAGCCAUAGAUUCAUCAAAAUAAGCAAACAACACACGAAAAACAGAAUCUGUCAAAAACAGAACAGUCUGUAGUAAUAUGUAACUAACGCAAACUUCUGGAACUCCAAAAAAUCAGAAAAAAUAGAAAGACCUAGACAAUUUGUUUAUUGAUCAGCAGCAAUUGGAAUCAAUAUUUUAUCACAUUCUGGUGAUUUUUAACAAUUAUUUUCGUGAACAGAAAGUUUCUGGAAUUUUCUGCAAGAUCAAAUAACUAUCAUCCAAGAAGAUCCUAUAGGUUUAACUUGGCACAAACACUAACUAAAACAUAAAAAGACAUCUAACCAGAGGCUAGAACAAAGAUUUAUUCCUAAACAGAAG